GUGCUCACUCCAGCAGCACAUAUACUAAAAUUGGAAGGAUACAGAAAAGAUUAACAUGGCCCCUGCUCAAGGAUGGCACACAAAUUUGUGAAGAGAGUAAGUAACUU